UACGUAGGGGGCUAGCGUUGUCCGGAAUCAUUGGGCGUAAAGCGCGUGUAGGCGGUCCGGUAAGUCCGCUGUGAAAGUCGAGGGCUCAACCCUCGAAUGCCGGUGGAUACUGUCGGGCUUGAGUACGGGAGAGGCGACUGGAAUUCCUGGUGUAGCGGUGAAAUGCGCAGAUAUCAGGAGGAACACCGAUGGCGAAGGCAGGUCUCUGGGCCACUACUGACGCUGAGAAGCGAAAGCAUGGGGAGCGAACAGG
rnacentral:rRNA from 1 species